rnacentral:rRNA from 1 species
UUCCAGACUCCUACGGGAGGCAGCAGUGGGGGAUAUUGCACAAUGGGGGGAACCCUGAUGCAGCGACGCCGCGUGGGUGAAGGAGCGUUUCGGCGCGUAAAGCCCUAUCGGCAGGGAAGAAGGAGGACGGUACCUGACUAAGAAGCCCCGGCUAACUACGUGCCAGCAGCCGCGGUAAUACGUGGGGGGCAAGCGUUGUCCGGAAUUACUGGGUGUAAAGGGAGCGCAGGCGGAUUGACAAGUUGGGAGUGAAAACUACGGGCUCAACCCGUAACCUGCUUUCAAAACUGUCAGUCUUGAGUGGUGGAGAGGUAGGCGGAAUUCCCGGUGUAGCGGUGGAAUGCGUAGAUAUCGGGAGGAACACCAGUGGCGAAGGCGGCCUACUGGGCACUAACUGACGCUGAGGCUCGAAAGCAUGGGUAGCAAACAGGAUUAGAUACCCGGGUA